AGGACGAACGCUGGCGGCGUGCUUAACACAUGCAAGUCGAGCGGAAAGGCCCUUUGGGGUACUCGAGCGGCGAACGGGUGAGUAACACGUGAGUAAUCUGCCCUUCACUCUGGGAUAGCCCUCCGAAAGGGGGAUUAAUACCGGAUACGACCACGUACUGCAUGGUGUGUGGUGGAAACUUUUUGGGUGGGGGAUGUGCUCGCGGCCUAUCAGCUUGUUGGUGGGUAAUGGCCUACCAAGGCUUCGACGGGUAGCCGGCCUGAGAGGGUGACCGGCCACACUGGGACUGAGACACGGCCCAGACUCCUACGGGAGGCAGCAGUGGGGAAUUUGGACAAUGGGGCAACCCUGAUCCAGCCAUUCCGCGUGAGUGAAGAAGGCCUUCGGGUGUAAGCUCGUUUGUCCGGAACGAAA
rnacentral:rRNA from 1 species